AUGAAAAUGCAGCCUGACGAGGGAGGCGGCCAUCCUGGUCUCCCUGGCGACGGCCUGCGCCACCAUGGAGUGCACGAUCUCCUUGGCCUUGGGGCACGAGUGGUCGUAGAACUGCGGGAACAGGCCGCCGUAACCCGGGUUGCCGACGACGGCGCCGGCGAGGAGCAGCGGAGACACGAGGCAGAGGGCCACCAGGCAAACCAUGGAGGUCGCCAUGGAUUAUCAAUGCAGGCAAACUACUUCGCCCUGCACUACGUUGCAAGCGACGAAUUAAGAGGGCUGCUAGCUUGUAUAUUUGCUUGCUUCUGCUUCUCCUGUUGUGGG
rnacentral:rRNA from 1 species